UACGUAGGGUGCGAGCGUUAAUCGGAAUUACUGGGCGUAAAGCGUGCGCAGGCGGUUUUGUAAGCCAGAUGUGAAAUCCCCGGGCUUAACCUGGGAAUGGCAUUUGGGACUGCAAGGCUGGAGUGUGGCAGAGGAGACUGGAAUUCCUGGUGUAGCAGUGAAAUGCGUAGAGAUGCGGAGGAACACCGAUGGCGAAGGCAGCCCCCUGGGCUAACACUGACGCUGAGGCACGAAAGCGUGGGGAGCAAACAGG
rnacentral:rRNA from 1 species